rnacentral:tRNA from 1 species
GCGGAAGUAGCUCAGCGGCUAGAGCAUCUCCUUGCCAUGGAGAAGGUCGCGGGUUCGAAUCCCGUCUUCCGCU